GAAGACCAUGGGCUUCAUGACAUUGGGCCUCCUGAAUUUUCUGAGAAGAUUGUUUCAGUGGGAGAGAAAGCUUACUAUUUUGUUAUUAGUUUCUAUUACAGAGAAAAAGUGAUCAAAAAAGACAAGGGGAUCAAGGUGGAAUAUCACUUUAGACUUGUCCAUAUAAAGAAAAAGAAGAAGAAAUGGAUUGUCCAGGGAAGGCAAACAAACAAAAUCUUCAGAAGAGAGCACCACCCUUCUGGAAGACGUGGAUAGGCUGGAAGAGUGGGCUAACCAGAACCUUAUGAAGUUCUACAAGGACAAGUGUAAAGUCUUGCACCUGGAAAACAUAAUCCAGGACUACAGCACAGACUGGGAUCUACCUGGCUGGACAGCAGCUCUGUGGAAAGGGACCUGGGGGUCCUGGCGGACAACAAGCUCAAUCUGAGUGAACAGUGUGCUGCUGCAGCCUAGAAAGCCAACAGUCUGCUGGGCUUCAUCAGCAAGGGCAUCACCAGCAGAGAUAAAGAAGUCAUUAUCCCACUCAGUGCUCGUCAGGCCACACUUGCAAUACUGUGUUCAGUUUUGGUCCCCACUAUACAAAAAAGAUGUGGAUGGGCUGGAGAGAGUCCAGAGGAGGGACACAAAGAUGACCAAAGGACUGUGAAGCCCACCACAUGAGGAAAGGCUGAGAGAAUUUGGUUUGUUGAGUCUUGAGAAGAGAAGGCUUAGGGAAGACCUUAUCAUUAUGUUCCAGUAUUUAAAGGGUGGCUACAAAGAAGAUGGAGACUCCCUUUUUACAAGGAGUCAUGUGGAAAAGAUAAGGUGUACAAGUUAGUCCUGAGGAGAUUCCAUUUGGACACAAGAGGAAAGUUUUUCACAGUGAGAGCAAUCAGCCACUGGAAUAAUCUCAUCAGGGAAGUGGUGGAUUCCCCAACUCCGGAUACUUCAGGCUACAGUAGCUGAAGCAGCCCCAUGACAAGGAGUUGGUUAAAUUUCUCAUCCAUUUUUUAAUUUUUUUCUUUUUAUUUAAAGCUCACUGUCCUCCAAAGACUUCAAACUCCUAUUCAAGGAUGUGACACCACUUUGUAUUUAUAGACUACAUAAAUUUAAUUCUCUAAGAUUUAGUAUACACCUGAAGUAUCUAUUGAUCAGCAAAACCAUCUGUUUCACACAGUGGAUUGAGAUUAUUCAGUGGCUGCCUGAAAAAUGUUAUGUAGGCAAGUAUAAGAAUCAUAGAAUACCAGGUUGGAAGGGACUUCAAGGAUGAUCUGGUCCAACCUUUCUUGUCAAAAGCAUGGCCUAGACAAGAUGGCCCAGCACCCUGUCCAGCUGAAUCUUAAGUGCCCAAUGUUGGGGAAUCCACCGCUUCCCUGGGGUGAUUAUUCCAAUGGCUAAUUGCUCUCAUUGUGAAAAACUCUUGUCUCCAAAUGGAAUUUCUCCAGGAGUAACUUGUACCCAUUUUCCCUUGUUUUUCCCAUGUGACUCCUUGUAAAAAGUGCUCUAUUUUUGUUACAUUUCAGUUUCCUUUCACAGUGGUUUAAAAAAUCUGGUUGUUUCUAGAAAUGCUAGACUGUUACUUUAUAAU